AAUGAACGCUGGCGGCAUGCCUAACACAUGCAAGUCGAACGAACCCACCAGGUCCAUUGUCGUCCGGCGUUGUCGCGCGUGGGAACCUUCCCACAUGUUUGGCCUAACUCUCCGACUGGGGUGCUUUUACCGGACCAUGUCUUCUGCCCAAAGAUUUAUCGCCCUUGGAUGGGCCCUCGUUGGAUUAGCUUGUUGGUAGGGUAAUAGCCUACCAAGGCGACGAUCCAUAGCUGGUCUGAGAGGAUGAUCAGCCACACUGGGACUGAGACACGGCCCAGACUCCUACGGGAGGCAGCAGUGGGGAAUAUUGGACAAUGGGCGAAAGCCUGAUCCAGCAAUGCCGCGUGAGUGAUGAAGGCCUUAGGGUUGUAAAGCUCUUUUACCCGGGAUGAUAAUGACAGUACCGGGAGAAUAAGCGCCGGCUAACUCCGUG
rnacentral:rRNA from 1 species